rnacentral:rRNA from 1 species
UACAGAGGGUGCGAGCGUUAUUCGGAAUUACUGGGCGUAAAGCGCACGUAGGCGGCUUGGUAUGUCGGGUGUGAAAUCCCCGGGCUCAACCUGGGAACUGCAUCCGAAACUGCCUUGCUAGAGUAUGGGAGAGGGAAGUGGAAUUUCCGGUGUAGCGGUGAAAUGCGUAGAUAUCAGAAGGAACAUCAGUGGCGAAGGCGACUUCCUGGACCAAUACUGACGCUCAGGUGCGAAAGCGUGGGGAGCAAACAGG